rnacentral:rRNA from 1 species
CGACGUGGAGAACCUGCCGUAUACUGGGGGAUAACACUUAGAAAUAGGUGCUAAUACCGCAUAAGCGCACAGCUUCGCAUGAAGCAGUGUGGAAAGCAAAAAGCUAAAGCUUUUGGUGGUAUACGAUGGAUCCGCGUCUGAUUAGCUAGUUGGCGGGGUAAAGGCCCACCAAGGCGACGAUCAGUAGCCGGCCUGAGAGGGUGAACGGCCACAUUGGGACUGAGACACGGCCCAAACUCCUACGGAAGGCAGCAG